ACUUGGUGCAUUCAUAUGGUUUUUCUCCAGCAGAAACUUUCUUGUGCAGGAACUGAUGAGAAAGAAAUGAGUUCAUUAAAAACCAAGGGAAGGAAUGAUGCCAUCCUCACCUACUGAGGCCAGGUUCCGGAAGGUCUCCAGCAUCACAUCUCUGUAGAGGUCCCUCUGAGCAGAAUCCAGCAAAGCCCACUCCUCCAGGGUGAAGUCCACAGCCACAUCCUCAAAGACCACUGAGUCCUAAGACAAACCACACAGGUGUGCAGGAGGAUUGGAGACACUGAAAGUACUGGGGAACUGGACUCAAUUCAUAAAUUCAAACAAGAUUCUGUGGUGUCCCAACACCUCCUCUAUGACGCGAAUGUUAGAUCUUUUACUUAUUCACAAUCACUUCCUAGUAAACUUCAUGGCACCACUAUCAGUCUGAACUUAUCUCUGCCUUUUUACUGCGACUGCUCUUAUUUUCCUCUACCAGGAGGGUCUAGAGAAAUGCUAUGCAAAUGAAGUAACUUUUCCAUUUGAAACGUUGCAUAACGCAGCAGGCCUCGGUUGUCCAAACGAUGCACAUUUCAUAGGACUUUCGGAAAAGCCUUCCACCAGCUACUGCAGAAAAUGGAUUCUGUGACUGUAAAAACCAAUGGCCGGGCGCAGUGGCUCACACCUGUCAUCCCAGCACUUUGGGAGGCCGAGGAGGGCGGAUCACGAGGUCAGGAGGUCGAGAUCAUCCUAGCUAUCUCUACUAAAAAUGCAAAAAAUUAGCCGGGCGUGGUGACGGGUGCCUGUAGUCCCAGCUACUGGGGAGGCGGAGCUUCGAGUGCGCGCUACUGCACUCCAGCCUGGGCGACAGAGCAAGACUCCGUCUCAAAAAAAAAAAAAAAAACCAAAAAAAUAACAACAACAAUGAAAUGUGCACGUUAAAUGGCUGUACGUUCUAUAUGUCAGUAAAGCUGGUUUUUAAAAAACAUAAAGAAUGUGAAGUUCACUGUCUUCCUCAAAAACAUGAUACACAAAAUGAAGACGCCCAUGACCUCACCUCUAGUCAACGUUAUACUAGUUCCAGCACCACCAGGAAAUAUACAAGAAUUAUAAAACAUAAACUUGUCUUUUUGCAAAUUUCUAAGAAUUAUGCACAUAAAACCCC
rnacentral:lncRNA from 10 species